rnacentral:rRNA from 1 species
AGUGAACGCUGGCGGUAGGCCUAACACAUGCAAGUCGAACGGCAGCACAGUAAGAGCUUGCUCUUACGGGUGGCGAGUGGCGGACGGGUGAGGAAUACAUCGGAAUCUACUUUUUCGUGGGGGAUAACGUAGGGAAACUUACGCUAAUACCGCAUACGACCUACGGGUGAAAGCAGGGGAUCUUCGGACCUUGCGCGAUUGAAUGAGCCGAUGUCGGAUUAGCUAGUUGGCGGGGUAAAGGCCCACCAAGGCGACGAUCCGUAGCUGGGCUGAGAGGAUGAUCAGCCACACUGGAACUGAGACACGGUCCAGACUCCUACGGGAGGCAGCAGUGGGGAAUAUUGGACAAUGGGCGCAAGCCUGAUCCAGCCAUACCGCGUGGGUGAAGAAGGCCUUCGGGUUGUAAAGCCCUUUUGUUGGGAAAGAAAAGCAGCAGGUUAAUACCCCGCUGUUCUGACGGUACCCAAAGAAUAAGCACCGGCUAACUCCGU